UAGGGAAUCUUCCGCAAUGGGCGAAAGCCUGACGGAGCAACGCCGCGUGAGUGAAGAAGGAUUUCGGUUCGUAAAGCUCUGUUGUUAGGGAAGAAUGAUUGUGUAGUAACUAUACACAGUAGAGACGGUACCUAACCAGAAAGCCACGGCUAACUACGUGCCAGCAGCCGCGGUAAUACGUAGGUGGCAAGCGUUGUCCGGAAUUAUUGGGGAAAAAAGCGCGNNCCCCGGGGUUUUAAGUUUGAUGUGGAAGCCCACGGGGGCCCCCCCCCCGNGGGGGGCGUUGNAANGGACUNUAAUGNUCCGGGGAAANAAANUGNUUCUGGNCCGNGAAAUGCGUAGAGAUUAGGAGGAACACCAGUGGCGAAGGCGGCUUUUUGGCCUGUAACUGACACUGAGGCGCGAAAGCGUGGGGAGCAAACAGGAUUAGAUACCCUGGUAGUCCACGCCGUAAACGAUGAGUGCUAAGUGUUGGUCUCAUAAGAGAUCAGUGCCGCAGCUAACGCAUUAAGCACUCCGCCUGGGGAGUACGACCGCAAGGUUG
rnacentral:rRNA from 1 species